GGUUCAGUAGUGUAGUGGUUAUCACGUGAGUCUCACAUGCUGAACACUCAAGGUCCCCGGUUCGAGCCCGGGCUGAACCA